UGGUGUGAUGUCGAGCAGGAGAAAAGAAGAAGAGGGAGCCAAUUUCAUCAUGACAAUCACAAAAUUGGAUGGUUAAAACCCCAACUCUGCUCUCUUUGAUCAAUUUCUAGCAUUCUUGAUGCGUGAUAACGGGUCAAAUGCGUGGUGAAAUAACGUCUGGAUGGCAACGAGUCAAACGAGUAAUAAAGCAACAACACUCCUACGGGCGAAGGUGAGUGACUCGAAUGUUUUUAGAGUCGUAUUGAUUUA
rnacentral:lncRNA from 1 species